GGAAGGAUCAUUUACACUUGAUCGCUUCUUUAUACUCUUAUAUAAACUCGUGAUUCGUCUGUAUAUUUUUAAAUACUUUUGUUCAGUAUCAUAUUAACUUAACUUAGCAUUUCUUAUGAUUUGCUUAAGAAAAGUAACUAUAAACAACUGCUAGCAAUGAAUGUCUUGGUUCUCGCAACGAUGAAGAACGCAGCAAAAUGCGAUAAGUAAUGUGAAUUGUAGAAUUCAGUGAAUCAUCAAAUCUUUGAACGCAAAUGGCACUUUAGGGUACUCCCUAGAGUAUGCCUGUUUGAGAAUCAUCUUUAAUCUCUUCUUAAAUAUCUUAUUUAAGAAGGUCAUUGAACGCUCAUACUUACUUAAAGUAUGUCGCUCAAAACACAUUUAGCACACAGGUCACUAUGACUUUCAAGCACUAAAACGCUUUGGAUUGCUAAGUUGUUAUCAACAUACUGUCUAAAGCGCGCUUGUAUUGGUCUUAGUCUGUCACUACUUAGCUCGGUUUAGUUUUUGCUAAACCCUAUCUUUAACCAAACAUGGUCUCAAAUCAGGCAAGACUACCCGCUGAACUUAAGCAUAUUACUAAGCGGAGGAAAAGAAACUAACUAGGAUUCCCUCAGUAACGGCGAGUGAACAGGGAAAAGCUCAAACCUAAUCGGAGAGGUUCCCUUUCCGAGUUGUAGUCUGAAGAAGCGUAUUCAGGAAUGGUCUGAGGUCUAAGUCCCUUGGAACAGGGCAUCAUAGAGGGUGACAAUCCCGUAGUUGGCUUCGGUACCGUUCUGUACGAUGCGCUUUCUAAGAGUCGAGUUGUUUGGGAAUGCAGCUCUAAAUGGGUGGUAAACUUCAUCUAAAGCUAAAUAUAGGCGAGAGACCGAUAGCGAACAAGUACCGUGAGGGAAAGAUGAAAAGUACUUUGAAAAGAGAGUUAAAAGGGCCUGAAGUUGUUAGCAUGGAACCGAUUGAAACUGGGGAUGCGGUCUAGGAUUCGGCUUAGUUUCAGUAGGCUUCAUGAAGCUUUAGAUCGUAAGACUAAAGUUUUAUGCGGUUCUAUAGUACCUUGUCUUCUUCCUAGAGUGCGCGUCAACAUCAGUUUGCUUGCCACAGGAGGGGCUAGUGGGAAGGUAGGUGCGCUCGCAAGAGUGCACUGUUAUAGCCUUCUAGUCAAACUGCCGCGCAGACUGAGGAGAUGCAGCACGCGCCUAGCGCGAGGUCUGAGGCAUGAGUUUAGGGUGGUGUAAGGACAGCCUAGCUGUGCUUACUCAUUCUAGGCUUACUGCCUUAGCGCCUAUCAGCGGCGUGCUCAUGAUGUUGACACAACGGUUUUAAUUGACCCGUCUUGAAACACGGACCAAGGAGUCUAACAUAUAUGCAAGUAUUUGAGUGGCAAACUCAAGUGCGCAAUGAAAGUGAAGGCGCUGCUUGCAGUGCUUAGGUGUGAGCUAAGGGGUGUACUCUUAGUGCAGCAUCGACCGAUCUGGAGGUUUUCUGAAAGAUUUGAGUAAGAGCAUAUCUGUUGGGACCCGAAAGAUGGUGAACUAUGCCUGAAUAGGAUGAAGCCAGAGGAAACUCUGGUGGAGGUCCGCAGCGAACCUAACGUGCAAAUUGGGCGUCUAAUUUGGGUAUAGGGGCGAAAGACUAAUCGAACCAUCUAGUAGCUGGUUCCCUC
rnacentral:misc_RNA from 1 species